CCAUAUAAAUUCAGCCUCCACCCUUUCAUCCGUCUCCUUCUCCUCUCCGAUCCUGAAGAAAGGUAUUGCUGAGAAGCAAAGCACAAGUUGGAAGAUUCAAAAUGAGCUGCAGACAAGUUGUGGCAUUGGAUGGUCUACUCUGGGAAUGCCAAUAUCUGAAACUGUUGCUGUGAAGCCAAUGGAAAUGAGUCAUGUGACUGAUACUUUGACAAAGAACUCGCGUUUCUGACCUCAUGCUGUGGUGGGAUCCUGGAGUCUCAUGUCUAGUUUUGCUGUAAACUUUGGACCCAGUAGAUGCAGAAACCUUUGAUUUGGUGUUGCAAGAAGACUGACUGAAGCGCGGUGGAUACUGGCAUAAAGGAUUGGUACUAAUGUAGAGCUGUCCCAGUCAGGUGGCCAGUAAUUUACAACUGCCAGUGUAGCUAAGAAUGAGUUCUCUGCCAUUCUUCAGAAAUGAUGACGCUAUCAAGAGAUGCAGUGGGGGACAUCCAUGAUUUCAGACUACAUUUAAUCUUGGGUGGUUACUGAUUUCCACUAUCAAUAAAAUUUGUGCAUUUAUCCUUGUCUUGACUGUAAUGUGUUAAUUUAAGACUUUUAUUAGAUAAUUUACUUUAAUAAAUCCUUCAAAUAAUAAAGUCGUUCAUUCCAGAUCAAGUAAUUAUGUUAAAAUACAUCAAACAAUUUGAUGUAGCUAACGUAAGUAACAUUUAGAAAAUGAACGCCACAAAGAUGGGAAAGCACUUUGUACUUAGAGUGAGUAACAACGAAUGUGAGAGUUGUGCCAAUGCGCAAACGUCUUCCAAGUAAUGGUUUUUGGCAACUUGAAGUAACUUGCCUAGCUACUGCUGAAGAUAUCGCUAGCUGAUUUGCUAGCAUACAGCGUAAAUUGAAGACAUGAUAUUGACUAAAACCUGUACCCGCGCUGCGGAUGGCUCAACUGACGUCAAGAGUCCAUUGACUUUGAAGUGUUAGGGUUACGUAAAUUCGAAUCUGGUAUAAGGAUAAAUUUAACAGUCACCGAUGGUAUACUAUGGUAAUUGUUUUUUGCCAUAAAUGGCAAAUGCAACUUUCAUAUAUACGGGCUCACUAAUACCAUGCAGGGCAGAACGGAACUGACAGGAUGUAUGUAAACAGUUCUCAUACUGUGAUGGCCAUAGUUCAAACCCGUCUGUUGACCUAUCACAGAUGCUGGGCGUGGUUUAAACUUGCUCAGCCUAUCGCAGGCGGGUCCCCGCUUGGAGUCCUCCCUCCGAUGUAUAGAUUCUUGCUGUUCUGGUAUCGCAGCCAUGUUUUAACAGUUGCUCAGUUCCUGCUAUUGUGUUCAGUUUUUUUUUUUUAUCUCAGUUAAACAUCGACACCCCUCCCUAUGCCUGCUUAACCACAACUUUGUAAGAUACAGCAAGUCAGUGUGUACGUAACAAUAUUGAGCACAAGGACAAAACAUCUGCUGGGCUGUUAUCUUGUUUUGCAACAUGCAUGUUACUCAGUUCUUGUCGAACACAAAGGCAAGUAAAUGUAGCAAGAUGUUUAAUCUCAUGAUGCUCAAGUGCACAAAUGCAGAUACUUCACACAGCCAACAUCGGAUAUUAUUUAAUCAUAUGGUAAUGGCUAUAAUGUAAAAUACAGAAUCCCACAAGGGAGUUGGUGUUUAACUUGCAGCCUUAGUAAAAAUACAACUGGGGUAACCAUAUCUUGUCCAUUACUCUUAAUACAUUUUACAUGGGCGUGAGUAGCUAGCUCAUUACAUACUGCAUAUUUUCCCGCAAAAUGGCGGUUAGCUUGAUGCAAUGUGUUUGGGCUCCCUAGUGGCUGUUUAAGGCACUGUAACUGCAUCGAUGCUAGAGGCGUCACUACACACAAAUGACCGGUUCCAGGCUGUAUCUCAACUGGCCGUGAUAGGGAGUCCAUAGAGCGGCGCACAAUUGGCCCAGCGUAGUUAUGGUUUCACCGGAGUAGGCCGUCAUUGUAAAUUUUUAAAAAGAUUGACUUCCCUGGUUAAAAUACAAAUUGAGCAAUAAAGAUUAUGCACGUGCCAUAAAUAGCCAACAGUAGCUAGUUUAGCUAAUCACUCAGGACCGCACAUCAGAUCACAGGACAUUUGUUUACUCUAUGAGUAGACUAAUAGCCUUCGCAUUAAUUUAUGUACUCUACUGCGUUUUACUUAACGCUAGAACCGAAAUUACUUGACAAUCGUGUUGAACAGACCCAUUACCAGGCUGACAUUGCCAUUAUAUUGAGUGACGGGACAAUGCAGGGUUGAAUUUGGCCCAUGGGUGGCACUAACUGCUGGCCAAAGUGUUCUGAGCCCCCCCCCAAGAAGUCAAUACAUUUUUCUUGUUGGACAAAAUAUUUAAACACCAGGAAAUAUCACCUCCCAAAUUGUUUUUAUUGCAAAAUUCUGUUCAAGUAUUCCCAUGCGUAGGAGGUACCUGAUCGUAGACAAAUGAAAGCAAGAUUUGAAUGAUUAUUUUAGUCACAUCUGUUAGGGAUUCUUGCGGUCAAUUUUCAGUCUACAAAUGAUAUGUAAUUAUAUUUCGCCCGUUUUCUAUUUAGAUUUUCUAUUCACCAGGAUAGUGACACGGGGGGUCCAGGCAGCCCAACAAAUUAUCCGGUGAAACAAUUCCGUCUACGCUGUGCUGUGGUUUUUGGUUCGUUAACGUCACGUUUAAUUUUUCUAACUUGCGCUGGCAUUCUACACAUGGUGUAUUUUUUUUUUUUUAAUGAGGUGGGGGGGUUGGGCAUGCUCGACAUGGCCUUCCAGGAUGCAAUCAAAGGCACUAGAUCUAUGGACUCUCACUCCUGACACGAUGGCAGUUUUUCCUCAGACUAAGGGUCACUGUCUGGAGCAGUGGGUGGAUGAUCUUCUGAGUUGGCCCGCAUCAUUAGGACUAAAGCCGGAAGCAAGAGGGGUAGGAGAAGUGGUGUCUUUGCUGUGGAUUAGUAGGUCAUCAUCUGGAUCGGUCUGGCAGUUUGUGUUACUUUCACAAGUGAAUGCAGGAGAUGAAGAGGAAGGCCCAAGAAAACAUGACAGAGAACAUUGGAGACUGAGCACCAACAACAACUAGCAUAAUGUAGAGGGCUGCGGGUCCUGACCGAUCAUUGCGGCACGGUCAGCAUCUUUAACGCUGCGGGUCCCAUAGAUGAUUUAGAAAUGGUCAUCUUUCUGCUUUGUACGCGUUAGCCUAGUACUACAUGUAUUGGACCGUGGUUGGGACCUCUAAUUAAAUGCAAGACUCAUGAUUACCCUACAUUAACAAACGUGAUAUUACACUACAACUUACCUCUAAACUGUCCUGAUUAAGUUUGGCUGUGCACAGACAUUUUAAAGCAUUUUCCUCUG